rnacentral:rRNA from 1 species
UCGGGUUAGCAAUAAUUCGGCGGUUCUAGUGGCGCACGGGUGAGUAACACGUGGGUAACCUGCCCUAGAGUUCGGGAUACCCCCUCGAAAGGGGGGCUAAUACCGGAUACGGUCCUCGGGUCGAAAGAUCUGGGGAAGAAAGGUGGCGCAAGCUGCCGCUCUUGGAGGGGCUCGCGGCCUAUCAGCUAGUUGGCGGGGUAACGGCCCACCAAGGCUAUGACGGGUAGCUGGUCUGAGAGGACGACCAGCCACACGGGGACUGAGACACGGCCCCGACUCCUACGGGAGGCAGCAGUGGGGAAUUUUCCGCAAUGGGCGAAAGCCUGACGGAGUGACGCCGCGUGUGGGACGAAGGCCUUCGGGUCGUAAACCACUGUCAGUGGGAAAGAUGGGUGCCGGCGCGAUAACCGCCGGUAUCUGACGGUACCUGCAGAGGAAGCCCCGGCCAACUCUGUGCCAGCAGCCGCGGUAAGACAGAGGGGGCAAGCGUUGCUCGGAAUUACUGGGCGUAAAGGGCGCGUAGGCGGAAUGGCAAGUCGGUCGUGAAAUCCUUCGGCUCAACCGAAGAACGUCGAUCGAAACUGCCGUUCUUGAGGAUUGCAGAGGAGACUGGAAUUCCCGGUGUAGCGGUGAAAUGUGUAGAGAUCGGGAGGAACACCGGUGGCGAAGGCGGGUCUCUGGGCAAUUCCUGACGCUGAGGCGCGAAAGCGUGGGGAGCAAACGGGAUUAGAUACCCCGGUAGUCCACGCUGUAAACGAUGACGACUAGGUGU